rnacentral:rRNA from 1 species
UACGUAGGGGGCAAGCGUUGUCCGGAUUUAUUGGGCGUAAAGAGCGUGUAGGCGGCCAGGUAGGUCUGCUGUGAAAACUCGGGGCUUAACCCCGAGCCUGCAGUGGAUACGGGCAGACUAGAGGUAGGUAGGGGAGAAUGGAAUUCCCGGUGUAGCGGUGAAAUGCGCAGAUAUCAGGAGGAACACCGAUGGCGAAGGCAGGUCUCUGGGCCACUACUGACGCUGAGAAGCGAAAGCAUGGGGAGCGAACAGG